UACGAGGGGGGCAAGCGUUGUUCGGAAUUAUUGGGCGUAAAGGGUGCGUAGGCGGUUUGGUAAGUCUUAUGUGAAAUCUACAGGCUCAACUUGUAGUCUGCAUGAGAAACUGCCGGGCUUGAGUAUGGGAGAGGUGAGUGGAAUUCCUGGUGUAGCGGUGAAAUGCGUAGAUAUCAGGAGGAACACCUGUGGCGAAAGCGGCUCACUGGACCAUAACUGACGCUGAUGCACGAAAGCUAGGGGAGCAAACAGG
rnacentral:rRNA from 1 species